rnacentral:misc_RNA from 1 species
CCGCCAUGUAACCCGUGUGACUUUGUCAAUUCAUUGCCCUUCUUUCGUUAACUAUACUUCACUUCCUAUUUAUUUACCAAACUACCCCUCUCCGUAUUUUCUUUCCUACCAACCUACCUUCCUUCUUCCCCCUUUUGACUAUUGAAAGUCUACCAAACAUAAAUCUCUCUCUCUUUCUGGAUUUCAGACUUAAAACCUCUAUAAAUAAAAACCCAUUCAGCUCUCAGUUCUUCCUCAGAGCCUCCAUUGCUUCUCUCUCUAAAAGCUUUUACAAGAGAGAAAAGCAGAGGAAGCUUGAGCGGGGAUGGCUCUCUCAACCCUUUCUUCCAAGUCUUUAUACAGCAACGCCCAGUGUUUCUCUUCUCAGCAACACCACCAAAAGCACCAACCACCUCUCUUUCUCCUUCCCGGAAACAGGACCAACAAGCCCAGGUCUCUCCCCUCAAUCACCGCAGUUCAUGCUGCUGAGCCCGCUAAGAAUACUGUUUCAAUUGAGUCCAAGGCGGCGGUGCCCGUUGCUGCCCCGGGUGCCGGGAAAUGGACGUUGGAUAGCUGGAAAACGAAGAAAGCUUUGCAGCUUCCAGAAUACCCGGAUAAGGAUGACCUGGAGUCAGUGUUGAAGACUAUCGAAGCAUUUCCACCCAUUGUUUUCGCUGGGGAAGCCAGGAAUUUAGAAGAGAGGCUUGCUGAGGCUGCCAUGGGGAAUGCAUUUUUGUUGCAAGGUGGUGAUUGUGCAGAGAGUUUCAAGGAGUUUAGCGCUAAUAACAUAAGGGAUACUUUUAGAAUUCUGCUUCAGAUGGGUGUUGUGCUUAUGUUUGGCGGCCAAAUGCCCAUCAUUAAGGUGGGAAGAAUGGCAGGUCAAUUUGCAAAGCCUAGAUCAGAUCCAUUCGAGGAGAAGAAUGGAGUGAAGUUGCCAAGUUACAAGGGAGACAAUAUAAAUGGAGAUGCUUUUGACGAGAAGUCAAGAAUUCCAGACCCACAGAGGUUGAUAAGAGCUUAUUGCCAAUCUGCAGCAACUCUCAACCUUCUUAGGGCCUUUGCCACUGGAGGGUAUGCUGCAAUGCAGAGAGUUACUCAGUGGAAUCUUGACUUUGCAGAGCACAGUGAGCAAGGAGAUAGGUACCAAGAACUGGCACAUCGAGUUGAUGAGGCCUUAGGAUUCAUGGCUGCUGCAGGACUAACAGUGGAACACCCUAUUAUGACAACAACUGAAUUCUGGACAUCCCAUGAAUGCUUGCAUUUGCCCUACGAGCAAGCUCUGACAAGGUUGGAUUCAACUUCAGGCCUGUACUAUGAUUGCUCUGCCCACAUGCUUUGGUGUGGAGAGCGUACCCGUCAAUUGGAUGGUGCCCAUGUAGAGUUCCUUAGAGGAAUUUCUAACCCUCUUGGUAUCAAGGUGAGCAACAAAAUGGAUCCGAAUGAACUGGUUAAACUCAUUGAAAUUCUGAAUCCUAACAACAAGCCCGGAAGGAUAACAAUCAUCUGUAGAAUGGGUGCUGAGAACAUGAGAGUCAAGCUUCCUCUCUUGAUCAGAGCAGUGCGCCGGGCCGGACAAAUUGUGACAUGGGUCUGUGAUCCAAUGCAUGGGAAUACCAUUAAGGCACCGUGUGGACUAAAAACACGUCCCUUCGAUGCAAUUUUGGUAAGAUUUAUCUGUCAUGUCACUUGAUUAUAGAGUCUAUAAAUUAGACAGACAUUUGAUGGAUCGACAUGCCAAUGUUAAGAACUGCAAUCAAAUGUACAUAGAAUAGAACUUACUGAAGAUAAAAAUUUUAUAUUGGUUAGUAAUUGCAACUUCAUGUGCUGCUUUUGAAGUUAGCUUUCUCUAUGCUCUAGUAGUGAGAAGCAAUGUCCUAUAUCAUGAUACUAAAUUGUGAUAUCAAUUUAAGACUACAGUUGCUUGAAUCAUUAAGGCCUGAACAAUCUGUGGUUUCCAUUGAGGUGCGGUAGUUUUAUGGUCGUUUUGUGCCAAAUAACAUCAACCUAUGGUUUUCGGUAGGUGACAUAUCAUAUUCAAUAUAAAUCAUUUUUAGAAGUAUUUUGUUAUGUAGAACAGUUCAAUAAUUGAACUUAUGAUCUACUGUUGGUUGGUGAGGUGGGGCUCUAAUGUUUCUGUUUAUCGGGCCAUGUGUCUCUCACCUCUUAACUGGGAAAUGUCCUAAAACUGUUCACAGGAAUGAAUAUAGUACAAUUUUUUUUACUGUAGCUCCUCCUUCAACUCAAGCUCAUGAUAUUUUAAUUGUUUGCAGGCUGAGGUUAGAGCAUUCUUUGAUGUCCAUGAUCAAGAAGGAAGCCACCCUGGAGGAGUUCAUCUGGAGAUGACUGGACAAAAUGUGACAGAGUGCCUUGGGGGAUCACUUGCUGUGACAUUGGAUGACUUGACUUCACACUACCACACCCACUGUGACCCUAG